ACGGGGUGCAGCAGGCGCGAAACCUUUACAAUGCACGUCAGUGUGAUAAGGUUACCCGGAGUGCUAAGAGAACAACUUUUAGCUGUUAUAGGUGUGUAAAUAACCCUAUGAGAAAGGAGAGGGCAAGGCUGGUGCCAGCCGCCGCGGUAAAACCAGCUCUUCAAGUGGUCGGGAAUAUUAUUGGGCUUAAAGUGUCCGUAGCCGGUUUGAACAGUUCCUGGUUAAAUCUGGUAGCUUAACUAUCAGUCAGCUAGGAAUACUAUCUUACUAGAGGGUGGGAAAGGCUUGGGGUACUCCGGGAGUAGCGGUGAAAUGCGAUAAUCCUCGGGGGACCACCAGUGGCGAAGGCGCCAAGCUGGAACACGCCUGACGGUGAGGGACGAAAGCCAGGGGAGCGAACGGGAUUAGAUACCCCGGUAGUCCUGGCCGUAAACGAUGCGUGCUAGGUGUUAGAAGGGCUAUGAGCCGUUUCAGUGCCGUAGGGAAACUGUUAAGCGCGCCGCCUGGAAGUACGCUCGCAAG
rnacentral:rRNA from 1 species